CGUCGUUACCGGGAGCUCCGGGCAGACCCUGGGGAGAGACCGGGUCAUUACAGGUAACCUGCUCACCUGGUCCGGGGCUACUAGUGAGUCUACAGGUAACUCACCUGGUACUGUACUAGUGGUGAGUGACUCUACUCUACAGUGACUCUACUCUACAGGUAACUCACCUGGUACUGUACCAGUGGUGAGUGACUCUACUCUACAGGUAUCUCACCUGGUCUGUUGUACCAGUGGUGAGUGACUCUACUCUACAGGUAACUCACCUGGUACUGUACCAGUGGUGAGUGACUCUACUCUACAGGUAACUCACCUGGUCUGUUGUACCAGUGCUGAGAGACUAUACUCUUAAGAUAAGGCAGAGGACCGUAAGUGUUCUAGUUGAGCCGCCCUGUAGAUAACAGGCCUAUGGCGUCAUUGUUAGUUCAGAAGGCAGCAGCACCCUCUGCUGGCCAGACGGAGGUAACUCACUCUGUCUCCCUUUGGGCCUCGCUCUCCCUGGGGUCCCUGGGAAAAUAAACACAAGGCAUUUAAUUAAGUAUAUAUAAGGUAUCAAAUUAUAAACUAGGAAAUAUAUAUUAUACAUUAGAUAUCAAAUAUAAAACAAUAUCCCAAGAAUAUAUAUGCAUAUAUCACAUAAUAUACUAUUCGAUAUAAAGCAAUCUACUUCCAAAUAUACAUUAGAUAUUAGAUAUAAAAUAAUCGACUGUUAAGUAAAUAUUGCAUAUUCAAAAUUAAAUAAUAUAAUAAAGUGAAUAAUACAAAACAAAAUACAAUUAUACAAUAAUGCAACAUAACACAUUACAUAAUACAUGACAUGACGCAACACAUAUUCUAACAUACUAUACUAUACUCAUAUCGUAUAUAACAUAUUAUCUAAACAAAUCUGAACAAGAUUCAAUGCUUUGAUCAUUCAUGGUGGCUAAUCAAUAAUAUUUAAACUGAUAUUAUCUUUAGUAAUUUUAAUUGAUACUUAUACAGAUAACCGAUCAAACAUUUAAUAGUAUAAAUGCUUUCAUAUUUUUACUGAUUUGAUCUUUCAUAUUUCUUCACCAAAGAAGCAACAUAAUCAAAGGGCAAUCUACUUGAUCAAAUAACUUCAUCUUAAUUUUAACAGGAUUAUAAUAAAAAAUAUGUGAAUGAUUUUAAAUGAAUAUCAUAAUAAACAUCGUAAUAAACAUCAGAAUGAAUAUCAGAUUGUACAUCAUUAUGAAUAUCGAACUAAACAUUAUAAUAAAGGUCAGAAUAAAUAUCAUAAUGAACAUCAUAAUGAACAUCCAAAUUAAUAUCUUAAUGAACAUCAUAAUGAUUAUCAGUAUGAAUAUCAAAAUGGAUAUCACAAUGAAACUCAUCCUGAUAAACAUCAAAAUAAAUAUCAUGAUAAACACCAUUGUUAAUUUCAGAAUGAAUAUCAUAAUAAACGUAAUCAUGCUGAAUAUCAUAAUGAACAUAAUCAUAAUGGAUAUCAUAAUGCCUAUCAUAAUGAUCAUCAUAAUGAACAUAAUCAUAAUGCAUAUCAUAAUGCCCAUCAUAAUGAUCAUCAUAAUGAACAUAAUCAUAAUGGAUAUCAUAAUGCCUAUCAUAAUGAUCAUCAUAAUGAACAUAAUCAUAAUGCAUAUCAUAAUUAAAAUCAUAAUUCAUAUUCACCUCUACUUGGGGCUCCUGGAAAUCUGUGGGAAAAAACAAGAGUAGAUUUAGAAUAAGGACGUCAUUCUGGAGCUAUAGUGAAGAGAUCAAUUAAUACUAUCAUAUACCAAAUAGAUAUAAAGACAUAAAGAUCAUUUGAUUCAUUUGUAUCAUCUGUAGCUAUAUAGAUGAAAUAGAAUAGAAUGGCAUUGAUUUUAAUAUUCUUAUUUUAUAUUUUUUGCUUGUUGCUUGGUUACUCCAGAGUAAUAAGAAGUGGUUGCUUGGUUACUAUUCUAGAAUAAUAACAACUGUUUGCUUGGUUAUUAUUAUUUUAGAGUAAUAGCAACUGUUUGUUUGGUUACUAGUCUAGAGUAAUAACAACUGGUUGUUUGGUUACCAGUCUAGAGUAAUAACAACUGGUUGUUUGGUUACUCUAGAAUUAAAACAAUCCUCCUCUAUUAGGAGAGAAGCUAAAAUAUGAAGUAAUUAAAUAAAAUAGUUCAUUACAUUUCAGGAUUAGACUGGAUGUGAAAUGUCAAAAUAGUGAUGCUCUGGAAAUAGGAAUAUGGCAUAAAUAUGUCAAUAUUUUUACAAAGGUAUUAAUUAUGUAUCAAAUAACUGUUUGUAAAGCUUUAAUAAUAAAUGAUCCAAAAGCUUUUAAAUGUAAUUUAAAUGUGUAAACAGUUAUACAAAGGUGUUAGAUGAGUUUUAAAAUAGAAGUAUGUAUGUAAACCUCUUUAAAUACAGUUUACACUCACAACUUUUAAAUCUAAAAAGCUGAUAAAUAAUGUAAACAGCAAAGGUUUGUUUCCAAUGGUUUCUGAAUGUUAACAUUGGUUUAUAAAGGUAUAUCAUACCUAUACAGGUUAAUUAAGGUAUAUAAAGGUUUCUAGAGGUUAAUGAAUGCUUAUCUAGGUUUAUAAUGGUUGUAGAGUUUUAUAAAGGUUUGUAGAGGGCAACAAAGUUGUAUACAGGUUUAAAGAGGUUGAUAAUGGUUUGUUGAGGUUUCUAAAGGUCUCUCAAGGUUUGUGAAUGGUUACUGAGCUUUCUCUAGGUCAGCUCAGUUCAGGAGGCGGGUUGCCUUGUAACCGGAAGGCUGCUAAUUUGAUUCCUGGCUCCUCCUAUUUACGUGUCGAGGUGUCCCUGGGCAAGACGCCUCACCCUGACUGCUCCCAAUGAGCUGACAGUCGCCCUGCGGGGUCGACUCCGCCGUCGGUGUGUGAAUGUGUAUGUGAACCGUUGUAGGACGCUUUGGAUAAAAGCGGCUGCUAAAUGCCCUCAAUGUCAAUGUAGAGGUUUCGAAAGAUGCAUACAGGUUUGCAGAGCUUUGCAGAGGUUUCUAGAGUUCUCUAAAGGUGUAUGCCAGUUUCAAGAGGGUUAUAUAGCUUUCAAGAAGUUUCUAAAGGCGAGUACAGCUUUCUAGACGUUUCAAGUGCUGUCUAGAGGUCGACAGAGGUAAACAGAGCUUUCUAGAGGUUUCUAAAGGCAAGUACAGGUUUCUAGACGUUUCCAGAGCUGUCUAGAGGUUGACAGAGGUAAACAGAGCGUUCCAGAGGUCUGAGAGGGGGCAGCCUACCUUCUUCGGGGCAGAUGGGGCAGCACUCAUCGUGGGGGAUGACGGGGUUGGCGCACUUGGAGGUGUCCUCGCAGAUGACCUCGUCACACAUGACGUGGCCGCCGUCGCACACGCAGAUCUGGCAUGGCUCGGGCUUCCACACGUCGCGGUCCGCAAAGACCUGUCCGUCCAGGGUACAGCUGCU